AAAACGGCCCUUUUCAGGGUCACAACAAUGCAUUAUCUAUUACUAU
rfam:Aedes aegypti strain Liverpool supercont1.523 genomic scaffold, whole genome shotgun sequence.